UAUACGAGCGGCCGAUGUCUGAUUAGCUAGUUGGUGAGGUAAAGGACUCACCAAGGCGACGAUCAGUAGCGGGUCUGAGAGGAUGAUCCGCCACACUGGGACUGAGACACGGCCCAGACUCCUACGGGAGGCAGCAGUGGGGAAUUUUGGACAAUGGGCGCAAGCCUGAUCCAGCCAUGCCGCGUGUCUGAAGAAGGCCUUCGGGUUGUAAAGGACUUUUGUCAGGGAGCAAAACUUACUGGUUAAUACCUGGUGAGGUUGAGAGUACCUGAAGAAUAAGCACCGGCUAACUACGUGCCAGCAGCCGCGGUAAUACGUAGGGUGCAAGCGUUAAUCGGAAUUACUGGGCGUAAAGCGUGCGCAGGCGGACUUUUAAGCCAGAUGUGAAAGCCCCGAGCUUAACUUGGGAAUUGCGUUUGGAACUGGGAGUCUAGAGUCUGUCAGAGGGGGAUGGAAUUCCACGUGUAGCAGUGAAAUGCGUAGAGAUGUGGAGGAACACCGAUGGCGAA
rnacentral:rRNA from 1 species